AGUGAACGCUGGCGGUAGGCCUAACACAUGCAAGUCGAACGGCAGCACAGUAAGAGCUUGCUCUUACGGGUGGCGAGUGGCGGACGGGUGAGGAAUACAUCGGAAUCUACUUUUUCGUGGGGGAUAACGUAGGGAAACUUACGCUAAUACCGCAUACGACCUACGGGUGAAAGCAGGGGAUCUUCGGACCUUGCGCGAUUGAAUGAGCCGAUGUCGGAUUAGCUAGUUGGCGGGGUAAAGGCCCACCAAGGCGACGAUCCGUAGCUGGUCUGAGAGGAUGAUCAGCCACACUGGAACUGAGACACGGUCCAGACUCCUACGGGAGGCAGCAGUGGGGAAUAUUGGACAAUGGGCGCAAGCCUGAUCCAGCCAUACCGCGUGGGUGAAGAAGGCGUUCGGGUUGUAAAGCCCUUUUGUUGGGAAAGAAAAGCAGCAGGUUAAUACCCCGCUGUUCUGACGGUACCCGAAGAAUAAGCACCGGCUAACUUCGUG
rnacentral:rRNA from 1 species